CAACUCCAGAACCCCACGGAUCAGUGACAGGUGAACCUGGUCCGGGUCUGACCACCAUACCAGCUGUGUCUGUGAGCUCAGACCUGGAGGUUUCCACAAUGGAUCAGCCCGAUGGAUCAUCUACAGGACAACCCACCCCAUCACCAUCCUCUGUCUCAGUGGGAGAGAGGUCCUCAGGUAGUUCCACAGGGAAACAGACCGAUGGGUCAGUGUCUGGAGAACACACCCAGAAAUCAUCUUCUGUUCCAGCAGGAGACACGAGCCCAG